rnacentral:lncRNA from 1 species
GAGUUUCUUGAUGAGUGUUACCAUAUUCUCCGUACUACGGGUAUCUCUAACUCAAGCGGGGUUUCUUUCACUACUUUCCAGCUUUGAGGGGCCGCCUAUGAUUUGUUUGACAGCCUAGAGGAAGCAGCUUCACUAACCUGGACCCAGUUUUCAGAUAUGUUCCUGUGAGAGUAUGUUCCUCAGAGCCUUAGGGACGCAUGGCGCGCAUAGUUUGAGCAUUUGCGCCAGGGUGCUAUGACCGUCUCGGAGUAUGCUGUCUGUUUCAACAGUUUGUCUAGACAUGCCUCAAGCCUUGGUUUCUACUAUUCGCGAGAAGGUUCGCCGGUUCAUUGAG